rnacentral:rRNA from 1 species
UACGUAGGGAGCGAGCGUUAUCCGGAUUCACUGGGUUUAAAGGGUGCGCAGGCGGGCGAAUAAGUCAGGGGUGAAAUCCUACAGCUUAACUGUAGAACUGCCUUUGAUACUGUUUGUCUGGAGUGAAGUUGGAGUGGGCGGAAUGUGAUAUGUAGCGGAAAAAUGCUUAGAUAUAACACAGAGCACCGAUCGCGAAGGCAGCUCACUAAACUUUAACUGACGCUCAUGCACGAAAGCGUGGGGAUCAAAC